rnacentral:rRNA from 1 species
CGGACGGGUGAGUAACACGUGGAUAACCUACCUAUAAGACUGGGAUAACUUCGGGAAACCGGAGCUAAUACCAGAUAACAUGUUGAACCGCAUGGUUCAACAGUGAAAGACGGUCUUGCUGUCACUUAUAGAUGGAUCCGCGCCGCAUUAGCUAGUUGGUAAGGUAACGGCUUACCAAGGCAACGAUGCGUAGCCGACCUGAGAGGGUGAUCGGCCACACUGGAACUGAGACACGGCCCAG